rnacentral:rRNA from 1 species
GAAUUCGCCCUUAGAGUUUGAUCCUGGCUCAGGACGAACGCUGGCGGCGCGCCUAACACAUGCAAGUCGAACGGAGCUUAGAGAGCUUGCUUUUUAAGCUUAGUGGCGAACGGGUGAGUAACGCGUGAGUAACCUGCCCUAGAGUGGGGGACAACAGUUGGAAACGACUGCUAAUACCGCAUAAGCCCACGGUACCGCAUGGUACUGAGGGAAAAGGAUUUAUUCGCUUUAGGAUGGACUCGCGUCCAAUUAGCUAGUUGGUGAGGUAACGGCCCACCAAGGCGACGAUUGGUAGCCGGACUGAGAGGUUGAACGGCCACAUUGGGACUGAGACACGGCCCAGACUCCUACGGGAGGCAGCAGUGGGGGAUAUUGCACAAUGGGGGAAACCCUGAUACAGCGACGCCGCGUGGAGGAAGAAGGUUUUCGGAUUGUAAACUCCUGUCGUUAGGGACGAUAAUGACGGUACCUAACAAGAAAGCACCGGCUAACUACGUGCCAGCAGCCGCGGUAAAACGUAGGGCGCAAGCGUUGUCCGGAAUUACUGGGUGUAAAGGGAGCGCAGGCGGGAAGACAAGUUGGAAGUGAAAACCAUGGGCUCAACCCAUGAAUUGCUUUCAAAACUGUUUUUCUUGAGUAGUGCAGAGGUAGAUGGAAUUCCCGGUGUAGCGGUGGAAUGCGUAGAUAUCGGGAGGAACACCAGUGGCGAAGGCGGUCUACUGGGCACCAACUGACGCUGAGGCUCGAAAGCAUGGGUAGCAAACAGGAUUAGAUACCCUGGUAGUCCAUGCCGUAAACGAUGAUUACUAGGUGUUGGGGGAUUGACCCCCUCAGUGCCGCAGUUAACACAAUAAGUAAUCCACCUGGGGAGUACGACCGCAAGGUUGAAACUCAAAGGAAUUGACGGGGGCCCGCACAAGCAGUGGAGUAUGUGGUUUAAUUCGAAGCAACGCGAAGAACCUUACCAGGUCUUGACAUCCGAUGCAUAACACAGAGAUGUGUGAAAUCCCUCGGGACAUCGAGACAGGUGGUGCAUGGUUGUCGUCAGCUCGUGUCGUGAGAUGUUGGGUUAAGUCCCGCAACGAGCGCAACCCUUGUUUCUAGUUACCAACAGUAAGAUGGGGACUCUAGAGAGGCUGCCGGUGACAAACCGGAGGAAGGUGGGGAUGACGUCAAAUCAUCAUGCCCCUUAUGGCCUGGGCUACACACGUACUACAAUGGCGUCUACAAAGAGCAGCGAGCAGGUGACUGUAAGCGAAUCUCAUAAAGGACGUCUCAGUUCGGAUUGAAGUCUGCAACUCGACUUCAUGAAGUCGGAAUCGCUAGUAAUCGCGGAUCAGCAUGCCGCGGUGAAUACGUUCUCGGGCCUUGCACUCACCGCCCGUCA